GAUGAACGCUGGCGGCGUGCCUAAUACAUGCAAGUCGAGCGAACGGACGAGAAGCUUGCUUCUCUGAUGUUAGCGGCGGACGGGUGAGUAACACGUGGAUAACCUACCUAUAAGACUGGGAUAACUUCGGGAAACCGGAGCUAAUACCGGAUAAUAUUUUGAACCGCAUGGUUCAAAAGUGAAAGACGGUCUUGCUGUCACUUAUAGAUGGAUCCGCGCUGCAUUAGCUAGUUGGUAAGGUAACGGCUUACCAAGGCAACGAUGCAUAGCCGACCUGAGAGGGUGAUCGGCCACACUGGAACUGAGACACGGUCCAGACUCCUACGGGAGGCAGCAGUAGGGAAUCUUCCGCAAUGGGCGAAAGCCUGACGGAGCAACGCCGCGUGAGUGAUGAAGGUCUUCGGAUCGUAAAACUCUGUUAUUAGGGAAGAACAUAUGUGUAAGUAACUGUGCACAUCUUGACGGUACCUAAUCAGAAAGCCACGGCUAACUACGUGCCAGCAGCCGCGGUAAUACGUAGGUGGCAAGCGUUAUCCGGAAUUAUUGGGCGUAAAGCGCGCGUAGGCGGUUUUUUAAGUCUGAUGUGAAAGCCCACGGCUCAACCGUGGAGGGUCAUUGGAAACUGGAAAACUUGAGUGCAGAAGAGGAAAGUGGAAUUCCAUGUGUAGCGGUGAAAUGCGCAGAGAUAUGGAGGAACACCAGUGGCGAAGGCGACUUUCUGGUCUGUAACUGACGCUGAUGUGCGAAAGCGUGGGGAUCAAACAGGAUUAGAUACCCUGGUAGUCCACGCCGUAAACGAUGAGUGCUAAGUGUUAGGGGGUUUCCGCCCCUUAGUGCUGCAGCUAACGCAUUAAGCACUCCGCCUGGGGAGUACGACCGCAAGGUUGAAACUCAAAGGAAUUGACGGGGACCCGCACAAGCGGUGGAGCAUGCGGUUUAAUUCGAAGCAACGCGAAGAACCUUACCAAAUCUUGACAUCCUUUGACAACUCUAGAGAUAGAGCUUUCCCCUUCGGGGGACAAAGUGACAGGUGGUGCAUGGUUGUCGUCAGCUCGUGUCGUGAGAUGUUGGGUUAAGUCCCGCAACGAGCGCAACCCUUAAGCUUAGUUGCCAUCAUUAAGUUGGGCACUCUAAGUUGACUGCCGGUGACAAACCGGAGGAAGGUGGGGAUGACGUCAAAUCAUCAUGCCCCUUAUGAUUUGGGCUACACACGUGCUACAAUGGACAAUACAAAGGGCAGCGAAACCGUGAGGUCAAGCAAAUCCCAUAAAGUUGUUCUCAGUUCGGAUUGUAGUCUGCAACUCGACUACAUGAAGCUGGAAUCGCUAGUAAUCGUAGAUCAGCAUGCUACGGUGAAUACGUUCCCGGGUCU
rnacentral:rRNA from 1 species